rnacentral:rRNA from 1 species
AGUCGAACGCUUCUUUCCUCCCGAGUGCUUGCACUCAAUUGGAAAGAGGAGUGGCGGACGGGUGAGUAACACGUGGGUAACCUACCCAUCAGAGGGGGAUAACACUUGGAAACAGGUGCUAAUACCGCAUAACAGUUUAUGCCGCAUGGCAUAAGAGUGAAAGGCGCUUUCGGGUGUCGCUGAUGGAUGGACCCGCGGUGCAUUAGCUAGUUGGUGAGGUAACGGCUCACCAAGGCCACGAUGCAUAGCCGACCUGAGAGGGUGAUCGGCCACACUGGGACUGAGACACGGCCCAGACUCCUACGGGAGGCAGCAGUAGGGAAUCUUCGGCAAUGGACGAAAGUCUGACCGAGCAACGCCGCGUGAGUGAAGAAGGUUUUCGGAUCGUAAAACUCUGUUGUUAGAGAA